GAUGAACGCUGGCGGCGUGCCUAAUACAUGCAAGUCGAGCGAACAGACGAGGAGCUUGCUCCUUUGACGUUAGCGGCGGACGGGUGAGUAACACGUGGGUAACCUACCUAUAAGACUGGGAUAACUUCGGGAAACCGGAGCUAAUACCAGAUAAUAUUUCGAACCGCAUGGUUCGAUAGUGAAAGAUGGCUUUGCUAUCACUUAUAGAUGGACCUGCGCCGUAUUAGCUAGUUGGUAAGGUAACGGCUUACCAAGGCAACGAUACGUAGCCGACCUGAGAGGGUGAUCGGCCACACUGGAACUGAGACACGGUCCAGACUCCUACGGGAGGCAGCAGUAGGGAAUCUUCCGCAAUGGGCGAAAGCCUGACGGAGCAACGCCGCGUGAGUGAUGAAGGUCUUCGGAUCGUAAAACUCUGUUAUUAGGGAAGAACAAACGUGUAAGUAACUGUGCACGUCUUGACGGUACCUAAUCAGAAAGCCACGGCUAACUACGUG
rnacentral:rRNA from 1 species